UUUUCUCAACACUUGGUCAAAAAAACAUAAAGUUUAUUUCUCAACCCUAGCCACACGACAGCCGACCUCCUCUUCAUCACCCUCAUCCUCCGCCUCCGCUCCCAUCCUCCUUCUCCGGCUCUGACGCUGGAGCUCCGCGGAACUCCACACUCCCGAUCCAGCUUCUCUCUCUCCUUGGAACUUCCAACCCGUCUCGGUGUGAGGCAUCUCUGCCUCUCCAGUCUUUCAAGCCCCACCCAGCCCCCACCGCCGAGCUCCUUGCCCAGCAACCUGCAACUAGCAAACCCGUCUCCCGGCCUCCGGUCUCCGAUCUCCACCUCCAGCCCUCCAGACUCCCUAUCCAGCUUCUCUCCUUUCAACUCUGCAACUAGCAAACCCGUCUCCGGUCUCCGAUCUCCGCCUCCAGCCCUCCAGCCUCCAGACUUGCAGUUUGUAACUCGGUCACUGUCUCACUGAGGUUAGUGAGGAGAAGCUCUCAGAAGCAGAGGCCACAAGCCCACAACUUCAUUGAGAAACGAUGAAAAAAAAAAAAAAAGUGAUACAUAUAGUUCAUUGGAUCCCCAAGUACCGUUCCUUCCCUAGCUCGGUCGAAGUUUCAGUGAAGGCUUUACUUGGUAUAUCAUCAGCAGCUCUACCUGCAGCUCCAAGUGCAUCAAUGCGAAUUUUAUUCCGUGGACAUCAUCCAUAGUGAGUUGGAACUGCAAAAAGAGAUCUGGUUUGCAGGGAUGAUCUCAGCAUAUGAAGACCAAUGCUGUGAUAAGGGUUCUCUCAUGCAAUGUAAUUUGGAAUCAAGGAAAGAAUGGCAUUCCUGUUUAGAGGUCAUUAAUGUAAGCAUCAUUGAGCCAUUGAAGCAGGCUCAAGGAGUUUCUUGGCUGAUAUACCUUAUUUAUAAUGUUCAGAGUCCUUUAAUCAUGGAGUAUGAAGCUCUGGGUUAAAUGUGAGCAUCAUUAUGUGUAUAACUUCUCUCUGAAUAAUUGCAUUUUGUAAUAUCAGAAUAUUUCCCCCAUAUUCUAGUUCUCUUAAUUUCAUACCAAGGAUCAGUCGAUGCUAAAGUUGCUGAAGAGUCAACAUUUAAAACAAGGACCAACGAGGGGAACUGUUGCUUAGGUUUCUGAAUCGAAGCUGCAACACAUGUUCCAAAUGCUGACUGAUGCAUGAAUUAGUGUGCAGACCAUAUGGUUACAGGAUAAACUACCACGGCCAGGCGACAAUGAUGAAAAUUGACAAAGAAAAUAGUAAUCCUGACAUCAGGAUUAAAGCUUCACAUUGUGUCACCAGGUUAGUGUAAUUAACUAUAUCAUCAUGUAAUUGUACAUUACAUAUAGGUUUAUUUGUUGCAGUUUUUGCUUGUCUAUGGUUUUAUUUUAGGUGCUUAGUUUUAUUUUGACUAGCCUUACUGCACGCGCUAACGCGAGUGCGGAAGUGCGGUGCUCACGUGUGAGUUAAAUUUCUAUUUUAUUUAUCAUGAUUAUUUCAUAUUGUCCAUGUUUGCUUCAGUAAUUUGCUUUGAAACAAUAUAUCAAUAGCCGAUACUAAUUAGUUUGCCCCAAAAUGAAUGCACAAAACCAUAUCAAAGCCAACCAAUUUGUAAUGGUAUGCCGAUUCUCAUCAACCAAAAGAAAACAACAGCAGUUUGCCAUAACAUUAACCUCAAAUCACCUCAAUUUGUUAGCAACCAAAACAGGAAGCAUAAAACGUUUUGCUGCAAAUAUUCACACCUGCUACACUACACAUUCAUCCAGUCCUACUACCAAUUCAAAGGCUUAACAUUUCGUCCCAUUAUCUAUACUCAUUCGAAUAUGACGCUCUAUACUCAUUAGCCACCUUCUUACUACUAUACAUACAAAGUCCCGUUGCCAAUUCAUAAUCUCAACGUUCAACCUCAAACUAUCUCUCAGUUUCUUAGCUACCAAAACAGAAAGCUUUACACUUUUCACCUUAAAUAGCUACACAUUCAUCAAGUCCUGCUUAGAAAAGCAAAGCAAUUGAAAAUUCAGAGUCUCACAGAGGCUAGCAGGUCCAAUCCCUGAAUAUCAAACACACAAAAGUAUAUGAAGUGAAGACAUUUCCAGAAGGCAGAUUGUCAACUGCACUGACUAUUCUGGUACAAAUAAAGGUAAGAUUAUAAACAGCUAAUGCCUUUUACCCUCUUCUUCUUCUUUUUUCUAUGGUGGAAGUGAUGAAGCUCACAGCAAUAUUGCAGCUUGGGUGAUGAAGACCUUGCUGAGUAUACUUGCAUACUUUCAAUUUUGAUGUUCAGAACUUAAGAAGAGUCGAGUAUCAAGCAGGAAAAAUAUGCAGUUUUUAAAGUUAAAUUUACAGAGCCUUAACUCAUUCUUUAAAGCUUUGAUUAAGGUGUGGUUUCUUUUCUUUAAAACAUUAGAAUGUCUAUUUUCAGUACCUAGAAGUUUUGCACAAAUUAGAGCUUUAGAAAGUUGCAUUAAAGAAUAAGAAAUAAGUACACAGCAGCAGUUUUGCAGAAAAACCUGGAACUAUAAUUGAACUUUAAAAAUUCAUAACUAAUUGUAGAAAAUUCGUUUUCAGGUGAUUCCAACUCUGGGAGUUUCUUUUGGAUGUCUGCUACAUAUAUACUUGUGUCUGCUGCAAAGAUGGGAAGAUCUGUAGAGUGGGAAAGGAAAUCAAAUCUUGCUUACACACAGAAGGAUAUUGAUGUGGUUCGAGCUGAAUGGGCAAAUCAUGUUAUGAAGUUCUAACUUUGGUUCUGUUUAAGGUAGAUGAGUAGCACUAGGAACUGCUUUUGUGCAUUUAUAUAUAACUGAUGGAAAGUGUUGAUGAACCUAAAUUAUGCAUGCAGUUGCUUUGCCUAGCUACUCUUUCUUUACCUUAUAGUUUUUUGACUUAGUGCAAUAUUAGGUAAAUGAUCGAGAUCGAUGAGAUGGUUUUUUGGUUCUCUUGAUCAUUAUGUAACUGUUGGCUAGGUUUAGAGUUGGAACUAUGGAUUGUAUUUUGGAUGAUGUUGAUGCAAUUAAUGAAACGUAGCCAUCAUUUUCAAUGCA